UCUUUGCUAGUAUAUCGGUUAGUACACGCGCCUGUCAUCUCGAGACAUGGUAAAGUGCGCGCGAAAGCUGGGUUCGACUCCCAGGCAAAGAG